rnacentral:rRNA from 1 species
CACGUAGGGCGCAAGCGUUUGUCCGGAAUUAUUGGGCGUAAAGGGCUCGUAGGCGGUCUGUCGCGUCGGGAGUGAAAACUCAGGGCUUAACCCUGAGCCUGCUUCCGAUACGGGCAGACUAGAGGUAUGCAGGGGAGAACGGAAUUCCUGGUGUAGCGGUGGAAUGCGCAGAUAUCAGGAGGAACACCGGUGGCGAAGGCGGUUCUCUGGGCAUUACCUGACGCUGAGGAGCGAAAGUGUGGGGAGCGAACAGG